rnacentral:lncRNA from 1 species
GGAAAAAGAAAGAAAGCCAUAAGUUGAAUUGAUUGAAUAAUCUUGCAUGAAUCCAUUUUUCUAGAAAAACAAUUUUUUAUAUUAUGUUAUAUGAAAAAUGGGAAUUUCAAGAUCUGUCUCAAGAUUUCUAAUUGAGCUUGAAGGCAGCUUCCUGAAAUAAGAAUUGGCUCCUUCAUCUGUUGGCUACAACUAGAGCAUGCAUCUCAAAAGAGUCAGACCCUGGUUCCAGAAACUAGAAAAAAAAAAUUGUGUAGCUGCUUCCAGGUUUUCUUGGGUUGUUAGUUGAUGUUCUGUAGGAUUUCAAUAUUUUUCUUAUAAAAAUAGAUUCAGAAGGGGGGGGUUGUAGCUCUGUGGUGGAGCGCUUGCCUAGCAUGUACAAGGCUGUGGACUCAAUCCAUCAUAAAGGGGGAAAAAUAUUCUUGCAUAAAAAUAGCUGCAGAAUUACACAAAGCAUCACUCAGGUAGAUCACUCAAGUAGCAUCACCAAAAGGUGGGAAAGGGAGAAUAGAAGGAAAGUCCAGGGGAAGGCCAAUCCCAUAUUCUCCUUUUUUCCAAUAAAUCAUAAUAGUGUAUGUGAAUACAGGUUUUAGUGAGAUGAAUUUGAACCUGAAUCCUGGGGGAACCUUAACUAUUGGCCAGAGUGGGUAACUGCUUCCACUUCAUGGGCACAUCUGGAAGGUAAGAGAGGCAUCCUGGGAGAACCAUGAGGAGGAAAAUGAUAGGGAAAUGACAGCUGUCUAUUUUGUGAUCCCCUUUAAAGAGGUUGUGAGCUGAAAAGUUAAUCUUGUCAAGUCAUGUUUGACAGCAAUUACCUAGAAGUGGUUUGAUAGUCAAAAAACCCACGAGGGUCCACCUGUUGAUAAAGCACACAGUAAAUAUAAACUGCCUAACAUGUUUAUUCUAAAUAAUUUGUUGGUUUAAAACUAUGUAAACUGGCAUGCAAAUUUUAAGUUAAUAAUAAUAAAUUUAGUUCUAAACUAUAUCCAUUUGCUCUACUGUCAUAAAACUACCAUUUAUAUUUAAUUCAUAUUUCUUUAACAUAAAGUAUACAUUUGCAAGCAAUCAAAAAUGUUCAGAUAACAUUCUAUUUCAAA